rnacentral:rRNA from 1 species
AUUGAACGCUGGCGGCAGGCCUAACACAUGCAAGUCGAGCGGCAGCGGGAAAGUAGCUUGCUACUUUUGCCGGCGAGCGGCGGACGGGUGAGUAAUGCCUGGGAAAUUGCCCAGUCGAGGGGGAUAACAGUUGGAAACGACUGCUAAUACCGCAUACGCCCUACGGGGGAAAGCAGGGGACCUUCGGGCCUUGCGCGAUUGGAUAUGCCCAGGUGGGAUUAGCUAGUUGGUGAGGUAAUGGCUCACCAAGGCGACGAUCCCUAGCUGGUCUGAGAGGAUGAUCAGCCACACUGGAACUGAGACACGGUCCAGACUCCUACGGGAGGCAGCAGUGGGAAAUAUUGCACAAUGGGGGAAACCCUGAUGCAGCCAUGCCGCGUGUGUGAAGAAGGCCUUCGGGUUGUAAAGCACUUUCAGCGAGGAGGAACGGUUGUUGGCUAAUAUCCAACAGCUGUGACGUUACUCGCAGAAGAAGCACCGGCUAACUCCGUGCCAGCAGCCGCAGUAAUAC